GACGAACGCUGGCGGCGUGCUUAACACAUGCAAGUCGAACGAAGUGGCGAACGGGUGAGUAACGCGUAAUCAACCUGCCCUUCAGAGGGGGACAACAGUUGGAAACGACUGCUAAUACCGCAUACUGAAGGAGGGGAUUGCGUCUGAUUAGCUAGUUGGGGGGGUAACGGCCCACCAAGGCGAUGAUCAGUAGCCGGGCUGGAGGGAAGGACGACCACAUUGGGAAUGGGACACGGCCCAAACUCCUUCGGGAGGCAGCAAGGGGGGAUCUUCGGCAAUGGACGGAAGUCUGGCGGAGCAACGCCGGGUGGGUGAUAGCGGCCUUCGGGUUGUAAAGGUAUGUUAAUCGGGGAGCGGUACCGGAAGAGAAAGCCACGGCUAACUACGUGCCAGCAGCCGCGGUAAUUC
rnacentral:rRNA from 1 species